rnacentral:rRNA from 1 species
GACCUCAAAUCAGGUAGGGCUACCCGCUGAACUUAA